GGACAUGGUGGAUGGACCCUACAUCAC
rnacentral:piRNA from 1 species